rnacentral:lncRNA from 1 species
CUUUUCCUUUUGUUUUGCAGAAGGCGAGAGUCUCCAUGAGAAGGGGCUGAAAUUCCUUGGAUGAUAGUGCAACAUGAGUAAACCCAGGAAAAAAGAAAAAGAAAGCAUGCGUAUUCUUUUUCAGGUACGCAUCCCUCGUAUCCUGCAUCCAGGCAAGCAAGAUUCACUGACAAAAUUCAAAGGCUCGAGUUCAAGGGCACAUUUCAGCAAGGCAAAGCCACUCAAGGAAGCUGCAAAGCAAGACCAGGAGGGUCUGUGGCCUGGGGGUCCCAAAGGUUGGAGGAUUGCAUUUGGCCCCCAGGCCUGAUGACGGCUAUAUUUAUUUGUCACAUACUACAAAAAAAAAAAAAUUCUCAAAAUGAUUUACAUUUUUUUAAAAAAGCAUUCAAUACCAAAUCAAAAUACAGUGAAAUAUUAAAAUGCAUUAUUAACUAAAAGUGUCGGUGCCUAAAAGCUGAUAGUGGUGGCACCCGAUGCAUCUCUCUGGGGAAAGGAUUUCAUUGUCAGGAAGGCCCAAUCAUGCGUUGCCACCCUCUCCACCUCCCUUAGAGUAGACACACAAAGAAGGUCCUUGGAUGAAGCAGCACCUAAGGAAUUGGGGUCUUUUUGGUAAAAACCUGCACUUGAAUUGAGCCUGGGUGGACUAUAUCAUGGACACCUAACAACUCCCUUGUACCAGAAACCCAAUGAUCACUACAGAUAUCUGCACACAAGUGUCCACUUGUCUAUACUAGGCAAGCCCUACAACAGAGCCACAGGUGUUCACACCUGAAAGACUGACAUCAGGCUAGUCUUAAACUACAAUACCCAGUGAAGGGAGGAGGGGGGGUGAGAUCAGCAAGGUCAGAGGAGAAGGUGACAGACCACCACUACAGCUCCCAGCUAAAACCACUCCAACAAUGUACGAAUGACUCUACAGUUUUGGACAACAAAACUUCCUUCUCACCAACCUUAGGUGGGAGAACCUAAAGCAGCUAUUCACCAGCAAGAACAGGCCACACAACAGAGACAAAAACGCAGGGGACAGAGCCUGCAAUAAGCCCAAAUGCGCAAUCAAUCCUCUUGUCUGGCUCAGGCAACAUUGCUACAAGACCCGACAGUAUCAGUGGCUCAGCAGCGCAUUUCUGCUCUCUACAGAGAAGUAGCAGGUCGUUCUCUACACAAGAGAAUAAACGGAUGCAAAUCUGACAUCAGCAAUGGCAACUCUGGUGCAUGUUAGAGGAGCAUUUAGCUGUGCAGCCCACAACCAUGUGCAUCAAAUAGAAACUAGAGACUUUGCUGCCAGAGACAAUACACAAGCCUUCAAUUCUCUAAAGCCACAAAGCCUUAGAGGGAGUUCCAGAGGGCUUUGUGCCUAGAAUAAGUUUUGAUUUCUGUUUGAUUUAAUACAGCUGUUGAAAGAGCAAGCCAAAUGGCACUUGGCCCCAUCCACUGUCAGCUGUACAGAGGGACGGCCACCUUCGGUGGACAAAGGGGGUAUUUGUUUGGUUUGCAGUUUCGUGCAAGUCGUCUGAUCCAAUGGAGUAUGCAUUAACGAAUAGCGCUUUGAUUAAGACAUGACUUAUGCCUGUAUGUAACUAAAAUAAAUAAAGAUGCCAGUUAAAGAACGAAGCCUUAAGAACGACAGAAGAUGUCCCGCAAUUGAAGCUAAUGUAGCGCAUGAGGCCAUUAUAAUACCACCAGCGGCAAAGGAAUAGUACCUUCCAUUCUGCUGAAUCAGAGGGGGGAAGCGGUGGCAUUCCAGAUGUUGUUCAACAACAACUCCCAUCCUCCAAGAUCAUUGGCCAGGCUGACUGGGAUGGAUGGGAGCUGGAGUCCGUCUGCACCUGGAUGGCUGCAGGUCCCCUAUCCCUGUAUGAAGAACUGAAAUGCCUUAUACCAAAGCAGACCACUGUCCAACCAGCCCAGUAUUACCUGCUCUUACUGACAGUGGGUCUGAACACAGGUCCUUCUCAACCCUACUACACCUGAGGUCCUACAAUUAGAGAAACCAGGUACACAAAGCAUAUGUUCUGCCACUGACCUACUCACACUUUGCAACUACUAGGACACCACUAAUUAUUGUUUUUACUAAAACAUACCCCCCCCCCAAAUUAAAACCUGCAUACCUCCAUGAAGAAAUAAAGAAAAUUUUAAGAAUAUCAUAUAGUAAAAGGCCAGAGGCAUUCCUUUUAGGAAUUUUAAAUGACGAUAUUCCAAAAGACAAAACUAUUUUUUUUUAAUACGCAACGUAUGCAGCAAGAAUCCUGGUGGCUAAGUACUGGAAAGGGAAUCAGUUACCUACUAGGGGAGAGUGGCUAUGUAAGCUCUCAGAAUACUUAGAAUUAGCCAAAUUGACAGAUAUAAUAAGACAAAAACCAAAAAGUGAAGUUAAAAAAGAACGGGAGUGCCUAAAUGAUUACCUCAAAAGUCAAGGUUCGAGGGCAGAAAUCUGGCUGAGUCUGGAAUAACCUUGUGAAGUGAAAGGAUAUGAAAGAAGGAUUUAUAUCUAGAUGUUAUAAUAGAGAUGAUUAAGAUAACAGGAAAAUAGGAAGACACAAUGAGAGAUAAAGGAGGUGCUGUGGGAUUGGUGGAAGUCAAUGUCUUGUGGUUGUUGUUUUAGUUUUUAUAAUACUAACUUGUAAGAUAUGGAUUUGGUUUUUUUGCUUUGUGUUUGUUGUUGUUGCUUUUUUUAGUUUUCAAAUGUUGAUUUUUGUGUGUUGUGUAUUGUUAUUUUCUGAUAUCUUUCAUGUUGUUGUUGUGUGGAAAAUACUAAUAAAAUUUAUUUUAAUUUUUUAAAAAAAAAAAACCUGCAUGUGGUACUUGCCACUUGUGAACAUGUGUUUAUAUUCCAGGAUCCUAAAAGAACACCUAAGGCAGGAGUGGGAAAUCUAUAGCCCAUUCAUUGAAUCAUUGAGCUGCUAGUUCGCCACAACUUCCCUCUGCUCGGCUCCUGAAGUAUUAGAGUUGGAGAAACUGGAAGAACAGACCAAUGGGGCCUCUUUCCAUGCCAUUCAUAAACCAGUGGCAGAGCGUUCCUUGAUGGUGUCCGGGGCAGGGCGCUAUGUCUGAGCAACCCCUGCCCACUGGAGCUAAGCAGGCCUGCAAUGGGAUGCCUGCCCAGUUGCAUGCUGGGGAGCCCAGCUGGCUGCAAUCCUG